rnacentral:lncRNA from 1 species
GAGCCUGCCAUCCCUUGAAGCUUGUAUAGGGAAUGCAGCUGAGUAUGAGGUCCAUGCAAUUCUGGCUGGAGCUUUUGAACAAAAGUCAAGGAAAUCCACCAUCACCCGUGGAAUUUCUGUUGCUCUAUUUAUUGAAGAGAGAGAGAGAAAGCAGGAGGAGAAGAAUUAUAAUGCGCUGCUCAAAGGUAGUCCUAGUAAAGACAUGAACACCUCAGAAUGGGAAGUCAAGAGAAGUUGGAAGUCCCUGGGAUUGUUUCCCGCUGAGCAGCAGGAGAUGGGGAGGAACUGCCUUUGGCGACAGCCUGCUCGCAUCUCUCUGGCAAAGGGUAAGUGAUGGAUGAAUUACCAAUGAUUUCACAAAAGCUCACCUUAU